rnacentral:rRNA from 1 species
AUUGAACGCUGGCGGCAGGCCUAACACAUGCAAGUCGAACGAGUGGCGGACAGGUGAGUAAUGUCUGGGAAACUGCCUGAUGGAGGGGGAUAACUACUGGAAACGGUAGCUAAUACCGCAUAUUUUUCGAGCGUCCGGUAACCGAUUAGCUAGGUGGUGGGGUAAAGGCCCACCAAGGCGAAGAUCAAUAGCCGGUCUGAGAGGACGAUCAGCAACACUGGGACUGAGACACGGCCCAGACUCCUACGGGAGGCAGCAGUGGGGAAUUGUGGACAAUGGGGGCAAUCCUGAUCCAGCCAUGCCGCGUGUAUGAAGAAGGCCUUCGGGUUGUAAAGUACUUUUGUUAGGGAAGCGGUACCUAAAGAAUAAGCACCGGCUAACUACGUGCCAGCAGCCGCGGUAAUUC